rnacentral:tRNA from 1 species
GCCAGUGUGGCCUAGUGGUUUGAGUGUUGGACUGUGACUCUGGUGAUCAGGGUUCGAUUCCCCCGCUUGCA